rnacentral:rRNA from 1 species
AUUGAACGCUGGCGGCAGGCCUAACACAUGCAAGUCGAGCGGAUGAAGGGAGCUUGCUCCUGGAUUCAGCGGCGGACGGGUGAGUAAUGCCUAGGAAUCUGCCUGGUAGUGGGGGAUAACGUCCGGAAACGGGCGCUAAUACCGCAUACGUCCUGAGGGAGAAAGUGGGGGAUCUUCGGACCUCACGCUAUCAGAUGAGCCUAGGUCGGAUUAGCUAGUUGGUGGGGUAAAGGCCUACCAAGGCGACGUUCCGUAACUGGUCUGAGAGGAUGAUCAGUCACACUGGAACUGAGACACGGUCCAGACUCCUACGGGAGGCAGCAGUGGGGAAUAUUGGACAAUGGGCGAAAGCCUGAUCCAGCCAUGCCGCGUGUGUGAAGAAGGUCUUCUGAUUGUAAAGCACUUUAAGUUGGGAGGAAGGGCAGUAAGUUAAUACCUUGCUGUUUUGACGUUACCAACAGAAUAAGCACCGGCUAACUUCGUG